rnacentral:rRNA from 1 species
GGGAAUUAGGGUUCGAUUCCGGAGAGGGAGCCUGAGAAACGGCUACCACAUCUAAGGAAGGCAGCAGGCGCGCAAAUUACCCAAUCCUAAUACAGGGAGGUAGUGACAAGAAAUAACAAUACAGAACCUUACGGUUUUGUAAUUGGAAUGAGUUAAGUAUAAACCCCUUAACAAGUAUCAAUUGGAGGGCAAGUCUGGUGCCAGCAGCCGCGGUAAUUCCAGCUCCAAUAGCGUAUAUUAAAGUUGUUGCAGUUAAAAAGCUCGUAGUUAAUCUUCUGUUAAUUUUUAUAUAUAAUAUCACGAUAUUUAUAUAAUAUUAACAUAAUUCAUAUUACUUUUUAGUAUAUGAAACUUUACUUUGAGAAAAUUAGAGUGCUUAAAGCAGGCUAUUGCCUUGAAUACUCCAGCAUGGAAUAAUAUUAAGGAUUUUUAUUCUUCUUAUUGGUUCUAGAAUAAAAAUGAUG